UGUUUGGUGGAAUUUGUUCUUUGUGUCCUUAGUCUAAAAUAUUGAGGAGUUACUUUUGUUCUGGAAGGUUUUGUUGUACAUUUCACUUGGAGGUUGUUUAUCAGGUGAUAUGAUUUGCUGUAUUCUGAUUGGUUAUUUGGGUGGCGCAUUUUAUUAAAAGAUAUGAAUUAGUAUUUUCUCUCACUCUUCUUUUUCUACUUGGAUGACUGGUUCCUGAGAUUCAUACAGCUCAUUUCCACAAAGUGGGCAUAUUGUUAUUAUAAUUCAUGAGGUUUUUUGACGUUCUUCAUAUAUGCUCUGGUGCUUCAUCUCUAAACUGUAACCGCGUUCGCGGUAGUAGGGUGCUGUAUUCUCUUUAACUAUUUUAGUAGGGUGUUAUAUUCUGUUUAAAGAUUUUAGUCAGUUUCCAUUGUCCUGUUUAUCCAGCUAGCCUUGUAUUUCCAGUAGUUAUAAUUACUUUAGUUUAGUUUAAAGAUGAUAUUGUAAGAUAGUGAGUAGAUUUAAGUGUCUUAGAAACCUGCUUUGUUUAUCCUAGUUACUAACUUCACUCUUUUAUUAUCUGGUCAACUAUCAACAUCUCUAUUUAAUUACAGCACAAUUCAUCAUUUAUUUCAAGCGUUCCUAAUUGUGUUGUCUGUAAAGUUUACAACUCUAUGGUCACAUUUAUUUUCCUGGAAAGCACCCGUCUUAGGGGUUUUUUUGUUCUGUAAAAUAUUAUAUUGUCCUGUUGUUCACUGGUCUCAACUGUUCUGUUCAACCCCGACCUGGAGUCGAUCAUGCGAUCCUCCAGCUACAAAAUGGCGCCCAACGUGGUAUAGAGACGGUGGAUUCCUGGUGUGUUUUGUGAUCUGUGUUUUGCGAACUCUUACUUGAUUUGUGUUUGUGUUGGAAUUCUUGGAUUUUUCUGGAUUUCUGCGAAAGAGCUAUUUCUUGGAAAAUAUGGGCAUGUCUUGUACAUGUGUGGUUAAUAUAUCCAUAUUUUGAGCCCUACAACAUAAAGAACAGGUGAAGUUCUGAUUGCUUGAUGACUAUGCUGAUGAUACAUCGGUCAGGUGUUGUGACAAAAUGGUGUAACUUUACCUUGCCCUUAAUUCCUGAAAGAUCUGAACAUGAGUGUUGGGCAUUCAUGUUUGAUGUGACUCCCAUUUAAGUGUCUCAAUAUUUCAUUGUUGUGGCACCACAGAAAGUAAAUAACAAUUUCAGUGUUUUCCACAAAUUAAGUUUGUGGCAGUAUGGAUGUUGUGACUCCUUUUCUUGUAUAGUGAAAAUGGGACUCAUUGGUUUUAAUCUUUAACCCCUCACCCUGAAUUUAUAGGUUUUAAUCUUAAAUACCUAACCCUAAUCCAAAUAGAAAGUAGGAAGUUCCAUAUUCAAAAAUGGCGGGCGAUGGUAUCCUGGGCUAUCCUGACUUGGUAAAGGUUGUUCUGGCUUUAUAACUGUUGAAUGUAAGCUCAUCCGUUCUGGCUUGGUAAAGACGGUCAAAAAUAU